UACGGGGGGGGCGAGCGUUGUUCGGAAUCAUUGGGCGUAAAGGGUGCGUAGGUGGUGCUGUAAGUCUGACGUGAAAUCUCUGGGCUUAACCCAGAAUCCGCGCCAGGAACUGCAGUGCUAGAGUGUGGGAGAGGAGAGUGGAAUUCCCGGUGUAGCGGUGAAAUGCGUAGAUAUCGGGGAGGAACACCCGUGGCGAAGGCGGCUCUCUGGACCACAACUGACACUGAGGCACGAAAGCCGGGGGAGCAAACAGG
rnacentral:rRNA from 1 species